rnacentral:sRNA from 1 species
CUACGAUGAAGAGUUUGAUCCUGGCUCAGGAUGAACGCUAGCGGCAGGCCUAACACAUGCAAGUCGAACGGUAACAGGGAAAAGC